rnacentral:rRNA from 1 species
GGACUACUGGGGUAUCUAAUCCUGUUUGCUCCCCUUGCUUUCGCGCCUCAGCGUCUGUAUUAGCCCAGAAAACCGUCUUCACCACCGGUGUUCUUCCACAUAUCUACGCAUUUCACCGCUACACGUGGAAUUCCGUUUUCCCUAACUAAACUCUAGUCUGGAAGUUUCAAAUGCAGCUCCGGGGUUGAGCCCCGGAAUUUCACAUCUGACUUUCCUAACCGCCUACGCGCCCUUUACGCCCAGUAAUUCCGAUCAAUGCUUGCACCCUCCGUAUUACCGCGGCUGCUGGCAC